rnacentral:tRNA from 2 species
GGGGGCAGAGCUCAGUGGUAGAGCACUUGCCUGGCAUGCACAGUCCCUAGGUUCAAUCCCUAGUACCAUUA